rnacentral:rRNA from 1 species
GUCAGCGGGCUCACAUGGCCGUUGCAGGAGACACUGGGACGUCCAAAGGCAAAGAUGUAGAUGAUGUUGCCUAUGGAGACUUUGCUCACUGGGCCUCCACUGAUGAAGGUAAUCCGGAAAGAGCAUCUCUUGCUACUAAUGAGAGUGCUCCAGAGUGGGUUCUUGACUCUGGAGCAUCUAAGCAUGUUGCUAGUAACUCAUGUGUGUUCGAAUCUUACACUAAGCAUCCUCCCUCUCACACGGGCACUAUACAAACGGCUGAUGGCACAAAACAACCAGUCAUCGGGGUUGGUACAGUAAAGUGUACUCCGACCAUUUCCCUAUCGUCAGUUUUACAUGUGCCAGCCUUUCCUGUCAAUUUGGUCUCUUUCAGUGCACUCAUUGAUCAAAUGGACUGUCGUGUGAUCCUUGACAAGUUCGGUUGCUUGAUUCAGGAGCGACAGACGAGCCAGACGGUUGGGACUGGCACCAGGCGUAGGGGGCUCUGGUACAUGGACCAGGAGGUGCAGCCGGACUUGGUGUGUGCUGCGACCAUGGAGGAUAAGGAGAAGCAGGCGAUGAUCCAUCAUUGUAGGAUGGGGCAUGUAUCUUUUGAUAAGAUGAGUAGAAUAUUUCCGGAUGUUAUGUGUGGCAUAGGCAAAGGCAAGCUGACAUGCGAUGCUUGUGAAUAUGCAAAACACACACGGGCCUCAUAUGUGAGUAAGGGGCUCAGGAGCAUAUCUCCUUUUAUGCUUAUUCAUUCGGAUGUAUGGACUAGCCCAGUGGUGUCAAUGAAUGGGAAGAAGUAUUUUGCUACCUUUAUUGACUGCUAUUCUCGCAUGACUUGGAUU